GUUUUGGUCCUAAACUUGCUAUUGUUUUUAAUCAAAAUUACACAUGCAAGCCUCAACAAGCCAGUGAGAAUGCCCAACACCGCCCAUCAGCCAAAAGGAGCAGGCAUCAGGAACACCAUAAAACUUGCCAAUAACGCCUUGCCACGCCACACCCACACGGGUACUCAGCAGUGAUUAACAUUAAGAAAUGAGCGAAAGCUCGACUUAGUUAUGAUUAAUUUGGUCGGUUAAUUUCGUGCCAGCCACCGCGGUUAUACGAAAGACCCAAAACAAUAGCCCAACGGCGUAAAAAGUGACCCAAAGCCCGCCUAAACCUUAAAGAAAAACUGCUUCAAAGAUGUAAAACACCUUGAUAACAGGAACCACAACAAACUGCCUUUAACACCCAAGGCCCUUCCAGUCACGAAAGCCAAGAAACAAACUAGGAUUAGAUACCCUACUAUGCUUGGCCCUCAACACAAAUAGCAUAAAUACAAUGCUAUUCGCCAGAGAACUACGAGUGAAAAACUUAAAACUCCAAGGACUUGGCGGUGCUCCACACCGACCUAGAGGAGCCUGUCCUAUAAUCGAUACCCCCCGCUCAACCUUACCAUUUUUUGCAACUCAGCCUAUAUACCGCCGUCGUCAGCCUACCUCAUGAGAGAUAAAAAGUAGGCAAAACAGUUAUAUACUAACACGUCAGGUCAAGGUGUAGCAUAUAAAGUGGAAGAGAUGGGCUACAUUUUCUAUUCUAGAAAAAACGAAUGAUACACUGAAACCUGUGUCUGAAGGAGGAUUUAGCCGUAAGCCAAACUAGAGAGCUUGACUAAACACCGCUCUGGAGCACGCACACACCGCCCGUCACCCUC
rnacentral:ncRNA from 1 species